rnacentral:rRNA from 1 species
CAGCUCUCCGAGUGGUAGGGAUGAUUAUUGGGCCUAAAGCGUCCGUAGCAGGCUUAGCAAGUCUCCUGUUAAAUUCAGCGACCUAAUCGUUGAGCCGCGGGAGAUACUACUAGGCUAGGAGGCGGGAGAGGUCGACGGUACUUCUGGGGUAGGGGUGAAAUCCUAUAAUCCCGGGAGGACCACCAGUGGCGAAGGCUGUCGACUAGAACGCGCUCGACGGUGAGGGACGAAAGCUGGGGGAGCGAACCGGAUUAGAUACCCGGGUAGUCCCAGCCGUAAACGAUGCGGGCUAGGUGUUGGGGUGGCUACGUGCCACUUCAGUGCCGCAGGGAAGCCAUUAAGCCCGCCGCCUGGGGAGUACGGCCGCAAGGCUGAAACUUAAAGGAAUUGGCGGGGGAGCACCACAAGGUGUGAAGCUUGCGGUUUAAUUGGAGUCAACGCCGGAAAUCUCACCGGGGGCGACAGCAGAAUGAAGGUCAGAUUGAAGGUCUUACCAGACAAGCUGAGAGGAGGUGCAUGGCCGUCGCCAGUUCGUGCCGUGAGGUGUCCUGUUAAGUCAGGCAACGAUCAAGA